UACGUAGGGUGCAAGCGUUGUCCGGAAUUAUUGGGCGUAAAGAGCUCGUAGGCGGUCUGUCGCGUCGGCUGUGAAAACUCGGGGCUCAACUCCGAGCUUGCAGUCGAUACGGGCAGGCUAGAGUUCGGCAGGGGAGACUGGAAUUCCUGGUGUAGCGGUGAAAUGCGCAGAUAUCAGGAGGAACACCGGUGGCGAAGGCGGCUUGCUGGGCCAGUUCUGACGCUGAGGAGCGAAAGCGUGGGGAGCGAACAGG
rnacentral:rRNA from 1 species